rnacentral:rRNA from 1 species
GGGAUUAGUGGCGAACGGGUGAGUAACACGUGAGUAACCUGCCCCCGACUUUGGGAUAAGCCCGGGAAACUGGGUCUAAUACCGGAUAUGACUGCGGAACGCAUGUUUUGUUGUUGAAAGAUUUAUCGGUGGGGGAUGGACUCGCGGCCUAUCAGCUUGUUGGUGAGGUAAUGGCUCACCAAGGCGACGACGGGUAGCCGGCCUGAGAGGGUGACCGGCCACACUGGGACUGAGACACGGCCCAGACUCCUACGGGAGGCAGCAGGGGGGGAAUAUUGCACAAUGGGCGAAAGCCUGAUGCAGCGACGCCGCGUGAGGGAUGACGGCCUUCGGGUUGUAAACCUCUUUCAGUAGGGAAGAAGCGAGAGUGACGGUACCUGCAGAAGAAGCGCCGGCUAACUACGUGCCAGCAGCCGCGGUAAUACGUAGGGCGCAAGCGUUAUCCGGAUUUAUUGGGCGUAAAGAGCUCGUAGGCGGUUUGUCGCGUCUGCCGUGAAAGUCCGAGGCUCAACCUCGGAUCUGCGGUGGGUACGGGCAGACUAGAGGUGAUGUAGGGGAGACUGGAAUUCCUGGUGUAGCGGUGAAAUGCGCAGAUAUCAGGAGGAACACCGAUGGCGAAAGGCAAGGUCUCUGGGCAUUUACUGACGCUGAGGAGCGAAAGCAUGGGGGAGAACAGGAUUAGAUACCCUGAUAGUCCAUGCCGUAAAGGUUGGGCACUAUGUGUGGGGGACAUAACACGUUUUCCGCGCGGUAGCUAACGCAUUAAGUGCCCCGCCUGGGGAGUACGGCCGCAAGGCUAAAACUCAAAGGAAUUGACGGGGCCCCGCACAAGCGGCGGAGCAUGCGGAUUAAUUCGAUGC